UACGUAGGGGGCAAGCGUUGUCCGGAAUCAUUGGGCGUAAAGGGCGCGUAGGUGGCCCAGUCAGCGUGCGGUGAAAGCUCGGGGCUCAACCCCGAGUCGGCCGUGCGAACUACUGGGCUGGAGCACUGUAGAGGCAGGCGGAAUUCCGGGUGUAGCGGUGGAAUGCGUAGAGAUCCGGAAGAACACCGGUGGCGAAGGCGGCCUGCUGGGCAGUUGCUGACACUGAGGCGCGACAGCGUGGGGAGCAAACAGG
rnacentral:rRNA from 1 species